GGGAAUUUUCCGCAAUGGGCGAAAGCCUGACGGAGCAAUACCGCGUGAGGGAUGACUGCCUAUGGGUUGUAAACCUCUUUUUUCAGGGAGGAAUCAAUGACGUGUACCUGAAGAAUAAGCAUCGGCUAACUCCGUGCCAGCAGCCGCGGUAAGACGGAGGAUGCAAGUGUUAUCCGGAAUCACUGGGCGUAAAGCGUCUGUAGGUGGUUGAAUAAGUCAACUGUUAAAUCUUGAGGCUCAACCUCAAAAUCGCAGUCGAAACUGUUUGACUAGAGUAUAGUAGGGGUAAAGGGAAUUUCCAGUGGAGCGGUGAAAUGCGUAGAGAUUGGAAAGAACACCGAUGGCGAAGGCACUUUACUGGGCUAUGACUAACACUCAGAGACGAAAGCUAGGGUAGCAAAUGGGAUUAGAUACCCCAGUAGUCA
rnacentral:rRNA from 1 species